ACCUAGCUGACGAGUCCCAAAUAGGACAAAACGCGUGUCCUAGAU
rfam:Schistosoma mansoni strain Puerto Rico chromosome 3, complete genome